rnacentral:rRNA from 1 species
GUACACUCCUGCGGGAGGCAGCAGUGGGGAAUAUUGCACAAUGGGCGCAAGCCUGAUGCAGCCAUGCCGCGUGUAUGAAGAAGGCCUUCGGGUUGUAAAGUACUUUCAGCGGGGAGGAAGGCGAUAAGGUUAAUAACCUUGUCGAUUGACGUUACCCGCAGAAGAAGCACCGGCUAACUCCGUGCCAGCAGCCGCGGUAAUACGGAGGGUGCAAGCGUUAAUCGGAAUUACUGGGCGUAAAGCGCACGCAGGCGGUCUGUCAAGUCGGAUGUGAAAUCCCCGGGCUCAACCUGGGAACUGCAUUCGAAACUGGCAGGCUAGAGUCUUGUAGAGGGGGGUAGAAUUCCAGGUGUAGCGGUGAAAUGCGUAGAGAUCUGGAGGAAUACCGGUGGCGAAGGCGGCCCCCUGGACAAAGACUGACGCUCAGGUGCGAAAGCGUGGGGAGCAAACAGGAUUAGAAACCCUUGUAGUCCCAUGAU